AGGGUUUGAUCAUGGCUCAGGAUGAACGCUGGCGGCGUGCUUAACACAUGCAAGUCGAACGAACCUUCGGGUUAGUGGCGGACGGGUGAGUAACGCGUGAGAAUCUGCCCUCAGGAGGGGGAUAACGGUUGGAAACGACCGCUAAUACCCCAUAUGCCUAUUGGUGAAAUGAAUUUCGCCUGAGGAUGAGCUCGCGUCUGAUUAGCUAGUUGGUGAGGUAAUGGCUCACCAAGGCUUCGAUCAGUAGCUGGUCUGAGAGGAUGAUCAGCCACACUGGGACUGAGACGCGGCCCAGACUCCUACGGGGGGCAGCAGUGGGGAAUUUUCCGCAAUGGGCGAAAGCCUGACGGAGCAACGCCGCGUGAGGGACGAAGGCCUCUGGGCUGUAAACCUCUUUUCUCAAGGAAGAAGAUAUGACGGUACUUGAGGAAUAAGCCACGGCUAAUUCCGUGCCAGCCGCCGCGGUAAUAC
rnacentral:rRNA from 1 species